rnacentral:rRNA from 1 species
UACGUAGGUGGCAAGCGUUGUCCGGAAUUAUUGGGCGUAAAGCGCGCGCAGGCGGCCUUUUAAGUCUGAUGUGAAAGCCUACGGCUCAACCGUGGAAGGUCAUUGGAAACUGAAAGGCUUGAGUACAGAAGAGGAAAGCGGAAUUCCACGUGUAGCGGUGAAAUGCGUAGAGAUGUGGAGGAACACCAGUGGCGAAGGCGGCUUUCUGGUCGUGUAACUGACGCUGAGGCGCGAAAGCGUGGGGAGCAAACAGG